CCUACGGGUGGCAGCAGUGAGGAAUAUUGGUCAAUGGGCGCGAGCCUGAACCAGCCAAGUAGCGUGUAGGAUGACUGCCCUACGGGUUGUAAACUUCUUUUAUAAAGGAAUAAAGUGAGGCACGUGUGCCUUUUUGUAUGUACUUUAUGAAUAAGGAUCGGCUAACUCCGUGCCAGCCGCCGCGGUAAUACGGAGGAUCCGAGCGUUAUCCGGAUUUAUUGGGUUUAAAGGGAGCGUAGAUGGGUUGUUAAGUCAGUUGUGAAAGUUUGGGGCUCAACCGUAAAAUUGCAAUUGAUACUGGCAGUCUUGAGUACAGUUGAGGUAGGCGGAAUUCGUGGUGUAGCGGUGAAAUGCGUAGAUAUCACGAAGAACUCCGAUUGCGAAGGCAGCUUACUAGACUGCGACUGACGUUGAGGCUCGAAAGUGUGGGUAGCAAACAGGAUUAGAUACCCGGGUAGUC
rnacentral:rRNA from 1 species